GUUCGAUUCGAGCGAAAGCGAGAAAGCUUUGCCGCAGGCAACGACCCGAAGGGCGAAACGCGCAGCGCUGAGUCAUCCUUCCCCCACCACCA
rnacentral:sRNA from 2 species